CGGUCCCGUCACGAAAUUUACAUGGAAAUACCGCAAAAAAAAAUUCCCUGAAAAUUUUAGCCCUACAUAUUAACAUUAAGAACUGGAUCGAGGCAUGUAAAAAUUUUCCAUAGAAAAUACACUACAAUCUUGGUUUUUUAUCUUUAAAUUCCUACAGAUCAGAGGUAUUUUAUUGCAUCGCUUUGACUUUAGACGCUGUAGCUCUUGUCAGUUAUACAAAAAAAUGCGAAUUUCGUGGAAAAAUCAGGUUUAGAUACCUCGCCUUUAUCUUUUGGAAUACACGUGGUUGAUAUUCAUCUACUGAUUACCAGUACCAGUUUUAAUCCAUUGCACUGAGUAUUUGCAGUUCUAUUCUACCAUUCCCAAUAUUUAGUAAUUUUAUAAUUUUUUAGGAAGAAUAAGUUUGAAAAGAUUGUUAAAACCCCCCCCAAAGUAAUUGAAUUUUUAAAUAAUAGAAUUUAAUUCUACAUAGUCAUUUGAAAAAUUGUAAUUUGUUGUUUUCAAAGCAAUCUUUCUGCCGACGAUGUAUGAAUAUGUAAAAUAAAUGAAUACAUUAGUCACUAACAGCGUUGCCGUUUUGAUACAAUUGUAUCUUUUUUGAUACUUUUUAUUCUAAAUUUUGUGAUUUGAUACUUUUUUGUUCACAAACGGCCUAUUUUGAUACUUUUCUGCUGAUAGAAUUUAAUUUUUUGAAACUAUGAAAAUGUUAAACUAAAAACAAACCUAUUGUAUCUGGAUAGUAUUAAAAAGUUGUGGGAAUGUAGGCCAAUUAAGAAACCCUGAAAAAUAUAAACUGGACAGAGACAUUUUUUUUAAUUUGCUUCAAAGUAAUGUGCUUGCCUUAUAACUCUGUGGCUGCUGAACUGGAUUUUUUUAGAUUUAAGGGGAAUUGUGAGUCGAAAAUGGACUUCUUUUGAAAAUUAGUUCUGAACUGAAAAGUCACCAAUAAGGUUUCUAUUAUUUUUUUACAGUUUAUUGUUAAUCAUAAUACAGGAAAAAUAAAAACUCAUUUAUUAUGACUUUCAGUUUUCGUUCCAUGAGCAAACUGUUGUGAAAUAAAUUUAAAUUUAAAAAAAUUAUGCUAUUUGCAAAAAAAUACUUGAGUGUCUUAACUAAAAUGUCUAUAUUUUUAAUAAAAACAACCAGAAAAAACUGGUCUGAAUUAGAUACACAACUUUACUUAUUAUUUGUUUUUCAUUUGCUGAAUUUAGAAUGUGGAAAAGGAACUGGUUAAAUCAAACAAAGAGAUCCAAAACUUUUUUAGUGCAUCGUUUUUUAAAGAUUGGAGCAACAAUCCCUAUAUCUGUCGCUUCAAGUGAACGCUCGUUUUCCUCACUUCGCAGGCUUAAAACACAUUUAAGAAAUAAAACUGGAGAAGCACGCCUGAACGGAAUGGCUCUCUUGAAUAUCCAUAGAGAUAUAGACGUGACGGAGGAAGAGAUUUUAAAUGUUAUGGCCCAAAAUAAAAGAAGAUUAGACUUCAAUUUGUGAAUAAAAUAAUGAAACAUUGUCUUUUUACAUAAACGCAAUACUAUAAAUAUAAAUGGGAAGUAUGCGCAGACUUCAAAAUGAUUGCAAUAUUGACUGGAAUGCAAACAGGAUACACAAAAUAUAUGUGCUUUCUUUGUAAAUGGGAUUCAAGCUAAAUACAGGAAAGCAUAUUAAGUUUAAUCUUUAAUCCAUUGUCCUACUACUGCUGAAGCAAAAAAAUAAAUAUGUACAUACUAUAAUAAACCACUAUUAAAACAAAA